rnacentral:rRNA from 1 species
ACACAUGCAAGUCGAACGCUCCCUUCGGGGAGAGUGGCAGACGGGUGAGUAACGCGUGGGAACAUACCUAGUGGUACGGGACAACUCAGGGAAACUUGGGCUAAUACCGUAUAAGCCCUACGGGGGAAAGAUUUAUCGCCAUUAGAUUGGCCCGCGUUGGAUUAGCUAGUUGGUGGGGUAACGGCCUACCAAGGCGACGAUCCAUAGCUGGUCUGAGAGGAUGAUCAGCCACACUGGGACUGAGACACGGCCCAGACUCCUACGGGAGGCAGCAGUGGGGAAUAUUGGACAAUGGGCGCAAGCCUGAUCCAGCCAUGCCGCGUGUGUGAUGAAGGCCUUAGGGUUGUAAAGCACUUUCAGUCGUGAAGAUAAUGACAUUAGCGACAGAAGAAGCCCCGCUAACUU